rnacentral:rRNA from 1 species
UCACGGGGGAAGCGGAUUGCGUUGGAUUGAUGGGCGCUUGUGUGUUCAGCCUUCGGGUGCAUUGGCACAAGUGCUUAUCCGCUGUGAGUUUUCGGGGGUCGAUUUUGGACCCCUGGGGACUGAGGGCUCCCUUUUUUAGGUGAGGACAGCGGAGUGACGACGCGAUACGACCCGUCUUGAAACACGGACCAAGGAGUCUAGCGCGGGUGCGAGUCGGAGGGUGCAAGCCCGUGGGCGAAGUGAAAGCGAGUUUUAAAAACUAGCAGUUUGGGGCGGCAUAAGAUCGUUGAUCUUAAGACUGACCCGGAGCAGUUGCGCUGGGACCCGAAAGAUGGUGAACUAUGCCGGAGUAGGGCAAAGCCAGAGGAAACUCUGGUGGAGGCUCGUAGCGGUGCUGACGUGCAAAUCGCUCGUCGAACUUGGGUAUAGGGGCGAAAGACUAAUCGAACCAUCUAGUAGCUGGUUCCCUCCGAAGUUUCUCUCAGGAUAGCGGGCCGACAAGUUGUUUUGUGCGGUAAAGCGAAUGAUUAGCGCAUUCGGGGGCGUUUAGCCUUUGGGCGAUUCUCAAACUUUCAAUGCGCAAGGGUGCCGCUGCUUAAUUGAGCGGUACCGGUAAAAACGUCGGCCCUGUGGGCCACUUUUGGUAAGCA